GAACUACCCCCUCUAUCCCAAAUUUCAUGUCUUAGAUUUGUCUAGAUACGGAUGUAUCUACUUGAUACAUCUGUAUCUAGACAAAUCUAAGACAAGAAUUUUGGGACGGAGGGAGUACUUU
rfam:Triticum aestivum genome assembly, contig: Triticum_aestivum_CS42_TGACv1_scaffold_423568_5BS